GUGUUAAAGGGUUUCUUUUUCUUUUUUUUUUGGUUCACUUCUUCGGUUCUGUUUAUUGUUUAUAUAUAAUAUAUAAUAAUAGGUUUUUCAAUAUAUGUUUUGCUGAUACAAUAAUAUAUUUAUAUUACACGCAUAUUAAGCAUAUAUAAAUGAAAAUUAUAGGCUUAGCUUAAUAAUUAAGCUUUGCCUAUAAUAAAAUGAAUAGACCACAUCAAAAAUUAAAUAGAUAUGUAAAAAGCUUUAUAUAUAUAUAGUUUUAUAUGUACAAAAUUCGUAACACAUAUAUACAUAGAGUUUUUUCUCCUAAUGUCUACAAACGAUACAAAUGAUCAUCGUUGUUUGGAAUAAGAGUUUCGUUGCCGUUGAAGUGAAACUCGCCGUUUGGAUUGAUCACUUGGUCGCGGAGAAAUCCUGCUAUCGUCUCUUGGAUAGCUUUGAUUCAGUCUUGUUGUAUGACCUUUUCCCUCAACCAUUCCGUCUUUAAUUUGAAAUAAAUAAAAAAGGUAUUAGUUAUCUAAGUUAAUCAAUAUAAUUCAGGAGAUAAUGAAAAGAGACAUGUAACGUACUCUGAGCGUCUCUGUGGGUGUUUGAUUGACUUGUGCCAUCAUGAAUUUGCACACGUAAUAUGCACAUAGAUUGUUCCCCCCUUCUUGUCUUAAACACCGCUGUACGAUAUAUAUAUAAAAAUAUUCACAACCACGACAAUAAGAAGGCUAAAAGUUAGCGAAAGUUUGUUAGCUAGUAGAACUUACUUGUGGAUGUAUUAUGUUAAGCGGCGUUUUACAUCCACUGAGAUGUUCACGGUCAAUGAAUCUUUCCCAAACUCUAUACACAGCCAUUGUGGAUCGUGAACUAAUAAUUACAGAGUCAUAUUAUGAUAUUUUUGUAGCUGAGAUCGACAUUACGUACCUUUGAAUAAUGUUUACCAUUUGUUGAUAAUUUUCUUGUGGUUUUCUCAUUGAGUCAAAGAUUAUCAACCGGUUCUUGGGAAUUUCAAUGACCAUGAGUAUCCAGUGAAAGCUGUUUUCACACACAUAUAUAUAUAGUCAGUCCUAUAAUGUAAAAUAAAAUAUGCAUGCACUUAAUAACUAUAUAACUCACUCGAAGUUGAAGGGGAAGAGUAUUUUUUGUUUUUCUUUUUGGUUCACAAAGAACCUCAUAAGAUUGGUGCACACUUCUGUCUCAUGAUCUGCUGUCCACACUGCCUGCGGAGCCUUGAAAACAAUAUAAGGGUCAACGAACCCAAUACUAUUGUCAUUUCUUAUUCUGAGCUCUCUCAUUUGGUGCCUGCAUAUAUACAUACAAAUCCUAAGUGUGUAAGGAUUAUAUACAUGUAAUUAAAGAAGUUAGAAGUAUAAUAAAAAGAAAAAAAUACUUAUAGACAAAAGCAGCUGACAAGAGAUUUGUCAAGAGCGUCGAGGUGGCAUAAUUGGUGCAAUUCUUCGAACUGCACGUAUAUGAGGUCAUCUCCACGGAAGUAGUGAUGUUGUCUAAUACGAACAGAAAUCCAAUUCUCUCCCCUUUUAGACGCCUCAAUGCACCAUUUGUUUAUUGCAAACAUUUGUGUGCCGAGCUCGUGUAAACGCUUAGGGUCGAAUAGACUCCUGCCCGGUUCAUAUCUUGCCCCCCAU
rnacentral:lncRNA from 1 species